AACGAACGCUGGCGGCAUGCCUAACACAUGCAAGUCGAACGAGACCUUCGGGUCUAGUGGCGCACGGGUGCGUAACGCGUGGGAACCUGCCCUUAGGUUCGGAAUAACUCCCCGAAAGGGGUGCUAAUACCGGAUAAUCUCUUCGGACCAAAGAUUUAUCGCCUUUGGAUGGGCCCGCGUUGGUUUAGCUAGUUGGUAGUGUAAAAGCCUACCAAGGCGACGAUCCAUAGCUGGUCUGAGAGGAUGAUCAGCCACACUGGGACUGAGACACGGCCCAGACUCCUACGGGAGGGAGCAGUGGGGAAUAUUGGACAAGGGGCGAAAGCCUGAUCCAGCAAUGCCGCGUGAGUGAUGAAGGCCUUAGGGUUGUAAAGCUCUUUUACCCGGGAUGAUAAUGACAGUACCGGGAGAAUAAGCUCCGGCUAACUCCGUG
rnacentral:rRNA from 1 species